UUUCUCUCUCAAUUCUUCAUAGGGGAUCUGAAGACACUGCCUUGCUGUUUCUCAAGGAAAUAUACAGGACUAUGAAUAUCAAUCCUGAACAGCCACAACAUUGAUGUAUAGAUACAGGAAUUUCCAUCCUGUUGCUCCGACAGACCUGGUGAAAAACACUUUGAAGAACAUCUAGUAUUUUCCUAGUUACAGAUGACAGGAUGAGCGACAGACUUUUUUUUCUGCCAGUCCAGAACUUGCUCAGAUUCUACCUUCUUUUGUCACUUCAAGCAAACUUAAAUUUUGAGAUGAUCAGCGCUGUCAUUCAAGGGAUGGAUGGAAUGACACAAUUUUGAUCUUAAAUCAGUUUAAUUGUACAGUUGCCAAGUAUAAAGUGAUCGCUGAAGGUUUUUUUUGGCGUGCAAAUCAUUAUUUCUCUCCUUCAGCUAUCCUGUAUCAGCUGGCAGUCAAACAGGCUUUGCCUACCAAGGCAGCACGUCCUCAUUAAAAAAGACUUGUUGAGAAACAGCAAUGAUCUGCUUUUCUUGACAUGUUUAUGGGUCCACCUUUAAAAAAUAAAAUGUGAACUGUAGUUCUAACCAUCUUUAAUACAGAUUACACAAACCAGUUCGUAUUUACUAAAAACUAGCAACCAGAAUAAUUUUCUUACUAUUGUAAGUGUGAUGGAGAUUAUUUUGUAAAGACCUUUUUAAGCCUCUGUUAAGAGUUUUAUUGUGAAGGUUUUUUUAAGUAAAAAUGACCUUUUGACUUUGAAAAUGUUAGAAGUUUGUUACAGCUAGUUCAGUGUUCACACCUCCUGAAAUGAAGAACAAUUUAAAAUAACAUUUUGGUCUGGUAAUUAAAGUAAUUUUUGUGAAAAAAGGCUGCGGUUGUGAGAACUAAAAUACCCUUGACCUUGCACUUUAAUAUCUCAAAACAGCAGAAGUAAAUGGAUUAAUCUGAAGCUCAUGGGCACUAGAUAAUAAUCUAGGCCCAGACCUGCAAUCCAGACUCAGUUUUCACGUAAUGAAGUUGGGAUGAAUUGGGUAUGAAAUCCUUUGAAUUCGUGUCUCUGAAUACUGAGCUUCUGUACCUUUCUUCUGGCUUCAACUUACAUGCAGAUUGUGGCUUUUCUUAAUAUUAGUGACUUAACCUUACUACUGACUAUUUGCCUCUUCUUGCAGUAAAUGAAUUUUGAAAUGCAGUAUGGUUUUUUUUCUUGGUAUAUGUAAAAUACACAGUAUUGUGCAUAUAUUUUUGGCUAUUAUAAUUAAAAAUACUUUACUUCCA